rnacentral:rRNA from 1 species
GACGAACGCUGGCGGCGUGCUUAACACAUGCAAGUCGAACGGUGAAGCGCCUUCCUUUUUGGUGGGUGUGGAUGAGUGGCGAACGGGUGAGUAACACGUGAGUAACCUGCCCCCUUCUUCUGGAUAACCGCAUGAAAGUGUGGCUAAUACGGGAUAUUCUGGGUCUGUCGCAUGAUGGGUCUGGGAAAGAUAUUGUUUCGGUGGGGGAUGGGCUCGCGGCCUAUCAGCUUGUUGGUGGGGUGAUGGCCUACCAAGGCGGUGACGGGUAGCCGGCCUGAGAGGGUGGACGGUCACACUGGGACUGAGACACGGCCAAGACUCCUACGGGAGGCAGCAGUGUGGAAUAUUGCACAAUGGGCGCAAGCCUGAUGCAGCGACGCCGCGUGAGGGAUGGAGGCCUUCGGGUUGUGAACCUCUUUCGCCAGUGAAGCAGGCCUGCCUCGUCUGUGGGUGGGUCGACGGUAGCUGGAUAAGAAGCGCCGGCUAACUACGUG